GAACAAAAUAGCAUGUAGGUUGAUUGAUGCUUUUUCUACGUCUAUGUUUUCGGGUUAGGAACCUGAUAAAGAUAACCCUGGUGACACAUAAACCAGAAUAUUAUGUUAUGGCGCAUGGCGUUGGUUUUUGUCUUUUUCGAUUUGAAUACAGGUUGUUUUGGUCAAAAACAAUCACACACCUCUAUAAUAUGUACCUACCUAUUUGUUUGUUUUACCACAUAGAUACAAAGACAAAGUUCAUUGACUGGAUGUAAUAAUUGACAUUCAUUCUACUAAAUGAAUAUGUAGUUAUCUAUUUAUUCAAUAAUAGUUUGAAAUAAGUAAUCUCAUCAAUUAAAUGUCUAAUAAUAAAAUGCAACCACACAAAUAUCUUGUCCAUUGUCAAUUCAGCCGUAGAUUGAUUGAUUCGUAAUAAUAGUCUGUCCUUCUCUUGCGAUCGGACAAAUGACGUGCAUAAACGAGACAGAAAUAGAGUUUAUUUAUAUCUGAAAGGAUGCUGUUUACUUGUGUUAGGAUAAAAAAACUGGAUGUUCACUAAAAUGAGAUUAAAAAGAAAUUAAUGAAAACAAAUAUACUAGUUACUAAUUUUGGAAUAGUCUCAAGUUUGCAAUGAAACAGAAAACAAUAAAAUAAAUAUCCAUUGGCUAAACCUAGUAUGAAUUAAUUUAAUGGAUGGAUGAAUUAAUUUAAUCAGGAAAUAUGAAAUAAAGUUUAUGUUAUUAUUGUUUUGGUCCUAUUGAAUAUACAAUUUUACAUAGUUGUGUUGAAUUUAUACCUUAGAACUGAGGAUACCGAGUUUUAUACACAUACACAGUUGUGCGUAAAAACCUUAUGUACAGAUAUUACAUACUUUAGUUUAAGAUUGACAAUUGUCAUAGUUAAUAGUAUAACAACAAAAAAUUUGUGACAUGUACUUAGUGUUAUUGCCCUUUUUUGUUUUUUAUUUGCUAUAUUUUAUUUAUGCAAUUAUAUCAUUACUUGAAAUUUUGGAUUGUUGAUGAGAUCCCAGGAAAUGUUUUGGAAUGUGAAUCUUUCCAAAAAAUGUAUUUUAUAUCAUACCUAUGCUGAGUUGAGAGUUCAUAUCAGAGUUGAUCACAGUUCAUUUACUUCAGGCUACAGUAGUAAGAAGUCAUGUUAAAUGUAAAUUUAAUAAACCUGGUGUUCUUGGUAAUGAGCAUUCAUUUUUUUGAUUUGUAUUACUGCUCUAUAAUAAUGUAAUAGGAAAUCUACAUUUCAUACCAAAUUAAAAUAGUCAAAUGCUCUAAA